rnacentral:rRNA from 1 species
UCGAUGCAACGCGAAGAACCUUACCUAGGCUUGACAUGUACUGGAAGACUGGCAGAAAUGUCGUCGCCCGCAAGGGUCGGUACACAGGUGCUGCAUGGCUGUCGUCAGCUCGUGUCGUGAGAUGUUGGGUUAAGUCCCGCAACGAGCGCAACCCUUGUCGUUAAUUGCCAUCAUUCAGUUGGGCACUUUAAUGAGACUGCCGGUGACAAACCGGAGGAAGGUGGGGAUGACGUCAAGUCCUCAUGGCCCUUAUAGGUGGGGCUACACACGUCAUACAAUGGCCGGUACAGAGGGUAGCCAACCCGCGAGGGGGAGCCAAUCCCGCAAAGCCGGUCGUAGUCCGGAUCGCAGUCUGCAACUCGACUGCGUGAAGUCGGAAUCGCUAGUAAUCGCGGAUCAGAAUGUCGCGGUGAAUACGUUCCCGGGUCUUGUACACACCGCCCGUCACACCAUGGGAGCGGGUUCUGCCAGAAGUAGUUAGCCUAACCGCAAGGAGGGCGAUUACCACGGCAGGGUUCGUGACUGGGGUGAAGUCGUAACAAGGUAGCCGUAUCGGAAGG